GGCCCACUGGCCGUUUAUGCAAGUUUCCCAACAAGGGUGACACUCAGGUGGACCUUGUUGGGCACGGGGACACAAGUUAACAAACCAAUGAAAACCGCAUUAUACAGUGGGACACUCCCAUACAUAAACAAUAUAAUUCCUCCUCUGUGCUUGGGAGAUAAUUGAAUCAGGAACUGUACUAAUCUAACCCAAUUAUCUCCAA